rnacentral:rRNA from 1 species
AGCCUGAACGCUGGCGGCGUGGCUAAGACAUGCAAGUCGCACGGUGUAGCAAUACACAGUGGCGAACGGGUGAGUAAUGAAUCGCUAAUGUACCCCGGACUCUGGGAUAGCUACCCGAAAGGGUAGGUAAUACCAGAUGAGACCACGGCAUCGCAUGAUGUUGUGCUCAAAGGUCCGCCGGUCUGGGAGCAGGCGAUUUCGUAUCAGCUAGUUGGUGAGGUAAUGGCUCACCAAGGCGACGACGCGUAGCCGGACUGAGAGGUUGGCCGGCCACAUUGGGACUGAGACACUGCCCAGACUCCUACGGGGGGCUGCAGUAA